rnacentral:lncRNA from 1 species
CCCCCUAAAAUUGAAACAAUGACCGUCUUUUCCCUCAGAGCUCUUCAGCUCUUUGAUUUAUUUUUAUUUUUUAUUUUUAUUUAAACGAUUGUCCUUUUCAACUUCAGAUUAAGACAGUAUAGAAUAGUUAAAUUCUCUCAAAACUGAUUUAAUUCAAACAUUUGUUGAGUAUCUUAAAUUGAAGUCAGCAAUAUUGUCAAUGGUGGUGGUCUGUUAUGUUUAUUUAUUUGUUUUUUAGGAAUAGAGUGUUGAUGUCGAUUUUCAACUGCUUGCUGAAAUCAUUCAAAGCUUGUGAAGAUAUGAUAAGUUGCCAAAUGAAUGAUAUAUGCUUAAACACCCUGCUAACAAUGAUUUUACACUGUCUUGAAAUGUUAUAUGAACCCCAUGUUAUUUCAUGUCAGGUACAUACAAUGUUUUAUUCAAGUACACACCGGAUAGUCUCAACAAAAAAAGCUUUGUUUAAUUCUAAAAACUUCCAUAAUGAGGAAUGUUGUAAAUAUUCUGGAGUUUAAUAUACCAAAUUGACCUAAGUGAAAGAUGAAAGAGAAUGUAGCAAUUUACAAAACUUAAAAAAAUAUUUGUAUUCCUUAUAUUGAAACUUUCCAAUAACAAUAUGCAUUGCAGGUCAAUGUUAUUGUGGAAAGAAGAACUUUGCUGAUAUUUUAAAUGUUGAUUUGAUACUCUCAUAUAUGUAGAUAAAUACAUAUUUUCUAAUUGACAGAUCGAUGAAUAUUUUGUGUGUUUUGAUAUUUUUGAUUAACUGUGAUUUGAAUGAAUGUGUUGUCAGAUAAAAAGUAAAAUGAUGAAUGUGA